AUUGAACGCUGGCGGCAGGCCUAACACAUGCAAGUCGAGCGGAUGAAGGGAGCUUGCUCCUGGAUUCAGCGGCGGACGGGUGGGUAAUGCCUAGGAAUCUGCCUGGUAGUGGGGGAUAACGUCCGGAAACGGGCGCUAAUACCGCAUACGUCCUGAGGGAGAAAGUGGGGGAUCUUCGGACCUCACGCUAUCAGAUGAGCCUAGGUCGGAUUAGCUAGUUGGUGGGGUAAAGGCCUACCAAGGCGACGAUCCGUAACUGGUCUGAGAGGAUGAUCAGUCACACUGGAACUGAGGCACGGUCCAGACUCCUACGGGAGGCAGCAGUGGGGAAUAUUGGACAAUGGGCGAAAGCCUGAUCCAGCCAUGCCGCGUGUGUGAAGAAGGUCUUCGGAUUGUAAAGCACUUUAAGCUGGGAGGAAGGGCAGUAAGUUAAUACCUUGCUGUUUUGACGUUACCAACAGAAUAAGCACCGGCUAACUUCGUG
rnacentral:rRNA from 1 species